AUGCAUUUGCAGGGGGACACAUUGGUGUUGAAAAGGUUAAACCUGACCCUUAGAACCUGACCGUUAAUACGGACGUAGGGAGCAAAGUACAUAAGAAU
rnacentral:ncRNA from 2 species